rnacentral:rRNA from 1 species
CAAUAGCGUAUAUUAAAGUUGUUGCAGUUAAAAAGCUCGUAGUUGGAUUUCUGUUCUUGGGAUCUGGUCCGCCUCACGGUGAGCACUGGAUAACUGGGGACAUCCUUUCGAAGGCGGCAGGUGCACUUGAUUGUGUGUUUGUUGAAUUCGGGACCUUUACUUUGAAAAAAUUAGAGUGUUCAAAGCAGGCGUCGGCUUGAAUACAUUAGCAUGGAAUAAUGGAAUAGGACUUUGGUUCUAUUUUGUUGGUUUCUAGGACCGAAGUAAUGAUUAAUAGGGACAGUUGGGGGCAUUAGUAUUUAAUUGUCAGAGGUGAAAUUCUUGGAUUUAUGAAAGACUAACUACUGCGAAAGCAUUUGCCAAGGAUGUUUUCAUUAA